rnacentral:lncRNA from 1 species
GCCGAGGUCCUCUUCUAGGAUUGGUUGUCCACUCAUAACCAUAAGAUAAUUAAAACGGGGGGGGGCAGGGUAAAAAAAAAACCCUUUUAUCAGCCAUAGGUUAAUGCAAGUGUUUAACAGAUGCUUCGCUAUUAAAAUAUUUCCCCCCAAUACUGAAGAAUCUUAAACCAGGCUAGAGCGCCAGCGCUCCUCUGACCCGGCACACUUUGGCAAAGUUGCAGUGGCCUGUUUGCUUAGGCACUGAAGUGGAUGACCCAAGUUAGGAUGACAACUUGCAGAGAACGCGGAUGAGACCUUCAGUUUGUGCCCACACUCAUUUGCAGCAACCCUAACAGAGAUUGCGAAGAUUUUCAAAGUGGGGCACCUCGAUUUCUCGAAUCUGUGGUGUGGCGAAUAUCCGUGUUCCUCCUGCUUAACUAGCCUGUUUGAAGGCACAGUUCAUUCUCGAGCAAUUCGUCACCUCCUGGGGGUCUUCUCUUCCCGUCUACAGGAGAGUGUGACUUCAGAAAGAACUUCGGAUUGGCCAAGGCCAUUAAAGCUGGUGAGCGACUUGGAAGUCAUUUAGAAAGGAACAGACCUUCAACCUCAAGCCUUUGCGGGCACUGGGAAAGUGUCUUCCCAAUCAAUCUGGCUUGCAGGCGGCAGGACCAACUCUGACCUGGCUUAUCUUGUACCCAUCCUAAAUACACCAAACUCAAGAGGUAGCCAGGGCCGCCUCAACACCGAGGCAGGUCUGAUUCUAUUUAUUCUAAAGACAGAGUUGGAGAUGGGCUACCAUUGGUGUUGAUUGAGAUGACAAGCAGUCACCUGAGCCCAUACAGCUGUGGGAGAAAGUGCUUGCUGCCAAGCUUGAUGACCUAAAUUGAAUACCUGGAACCUACACGACAGAAAGAGAGAGCUGACUGCUGAAAGAUGUCCUCAGAUCUUCACAUGUGCACAGUGGCACCUAUCCAACCAUGCACAUAGUAUAUUAAAAAUUAUUUUUUAAAAAAUCCA